UCGACUAGAAAUAUCAAGAUGCCCAGCUUGAAGAUAUGCUACACGUCUUUCUAUCUUUGGAAAAUUAAACAACUGCAGUCAGCCGUCCCAUGGGAUGUACCAUGGCAAAACGACUGUACAAGUUUGUUCUCCAUUAUUUUCAAUGUCAUACGUGAUGGCACUUAAACCAAAGACGUGGAAAGAAAUUCCAAAACUAGUCCAUGAGAGGUGGGAGUCUGUUCAAGAAGCCAGGUUGGAGGCUGCUCAAGAAGCCAGGUAACUCAGAGCAACCCAUGCAGGGGUUUAACAGGGCAGAAAGGGCAAGGAUUAUAUUUGCUUCGAAUAAUGUUAUGUCAUGAUUGUAAUCAUUGGGCUUUGUUGAGCUUUGAUCUCUCUCUUGUUCAGAUACUUUUAAUCAAUCGGCGAAUCAAUUCAUCUCCGUCAA